rnacentral:rRNA from 1 species
UACGAAGGGGGCUAGCGUUGCUCGGAAUCACUGGGCGUAAAGCGCACGUAGGCGGCUUUUUAAGUCAGAGGUGAAAUCCUGGAGCUCAACUCCAGAACUGCCUUUGAUACUGGAGAGCUUGAGUCCGGGAGAGGUGAGUGGAACUGCGAGUGUAGAGGUGAAAUUCGUAGAGUAUUCGCAAGAACACCAGUGGCGAAGGCGGCUCACUGGCCCGGUACUGAC